rnacentral:rRNA from 1 species
CCUACGGGAGGCAGCAGUGGGGAAUAUUGCACAAUGGGGGAAACCCUGAUGCAGCGACGCCGCGUGAGUGAAGAAGUACCCCGGUACGUAAAGCUCUGUCGGCAGGGAAGAAGAAUGACGGUACCUGACGAGGAAGCACCGGCUAAAUACGUGCCAGCAGCCGCGGUAAUACGUAUGGUGCAAGCGUUAUCCGGAUUUACUGGGCGUAAAGGGAGCGCAGGCGGUACGGCAAGUCUGAUGUGAAAGCCCGGGGCCCAACCCCGGUACUGCACUGGAAACUGCCGGACUGGAGUGUCGGAGGGGCAGGCGGAAUUCCUGGUGUAGCGGUGAAAUGCGCAGAUAUCAGGAGGAACACCGGUGGCGAAGGCGGCCUGCUGGACGAUGACUGACGCUGAGGCUCGAAAGCGUGGGGAGCAAACAGGAUUAGAUACCCUUGUA